rnacentral:lncRNA from 1 species
GCUCAAGCAAUCCUCCUGCUUCAGCCUCUCUAAUAGCUGGGACCCCAAGUGUGCACCACCACAUCUGUCUCCACCGUCUAUUAAUCAGAUUUUCUUUUCCGUGAUCUUCUUCAAGGACGAGAACUUUAUCAUUCAGCCUUCUAUGUCCGUAGUGCUCAUCUGCUCAUCACACGCCCCACAUCCUUUGUCCCAUAGAAUCUGCAAAAAGGAAGAGAAGACUGUAUUCCUCAAAAUAUCAAGGACGAGGAUACUGUCUGACUUGGGAAUAAACCAAUGGCAUAUACGAAGGUGCUUAACAUCACUAAUCACUGGGGAAAUGCAAGUCAAAACCAUAAUGACAUAGCUCCUCACACCUGUUAAAAUGACUAUUAUCAGAAAGUCAAAUGAUAAGUGUUCAUUGAGGGUGUGGAGAAAAUGGAACUCUUGUACACUGUUGGUGGGAUUGUAAAUUGGUGUGGCCAUUAUGAAAAACA